rfam:Salmo salar isolate Sally breed double haploid chromosome ssa10, whole genome shotgun sequence.
UGGCUCAGUUCGUAGAGCAUGGAGUUUGCAACGCCAGGGUUGUGGGUUCGAUUUCCCAC